UUACAAUGCUUUACUACAAUUCAUUGAUUUAGGAAAUUGAAUUGGCAGCAGUUGGUGCAGAUCAGCAAAAGAUUUCUGGAGCAGUUUGCAGCUUUUCUGCCACUCUCUGAGAUAUUAUGAGUUCAUCCACACCUACCAAGUGUGCUCCAGCUACUUUUCAAUGUUAAA